rnacentral:rRNA from 1 species
UACGUAGGGUGCAAGCGUUGUCCGGAAUUAUUGGGCGUAAAGAGCUCGUAGGCGGUCUGUCGCGUCGGCUGUGAAAACUCGGGGCUCAACCCCGAGCCUGCAGUCGAUACGGGCAGACUAGAGUGCUGUAGGGGAGACUGGAAUUCCUGGUGUAGCGGUGAAAUGCGCAGAUAUCAGGAGGAACACCGGUGGCGAAGGCGGGUCUCUGGGCCGGUACUGGACGCUGGAGGAGCGAAAGCGUGGGAGCGAACAGG